GACGUACGCUGGCGGCGUGCCUAAUACAUGCAAGUAGAACGCUGAGGGAGGAGCUUGCUCUUCUGGAUGAGUUGCGAACGGGUGAGAACGCGUAGGUAACCUUCCUGGUAGCGGGGGAAAAAUAUUGGAAACGAUAGCUAAUAACGCAUAAGAGUAGAAGUUGCAUGAAAUUUGCUUAAAAGGUGCAAUUGCAUCACUACCAGAUGGACCUGCGUUGUAUUAGCUAGUUGGUGGGGUAACGGCUCACCAAGGCGACGAUACAUAGCCGACCUGAGAGGGUGAUCGGCCACACUGGGACUGAGACACGGCCCAGACUCCUACGGGAGGCAGCAGUAGGGAAUCUUCGGCAAUGGACGGAAGUCUGACCGAGCAACGCCGCGUGAGUGAAGAAGGUUUUCGGAUCGUAAAGCUCUGUUGUAAGAGAAGAACGAGUGUGAGAGUGGAAAGUUCACACUGUGACGGUAUCUUACCAGAAAGGGACGGCUAACUACGUG
rnacentral:rRNA from 1 species